rnacentral:rRNA from 2 species
UGGGGAAUAUUGCACAAUGGGAGAAACCCUGAUGCAGCGACGCCGCGUGAACGAAGAAGGUAUUCGUAUCGUAAAGUUCUGUCCUAUGGGAAGAUAAUGACAGUACCAUAGAAGAAAGCUCCGGCUAAAUACGUGCCAGCAGCCGCGGUAAUACGUAUGGAGCGAGCGUUGUCCGGAAUUAUUGGGCGUAAAGGGUACGCAGGCGGUUUAAUAAGUCGAAUGUUAAAGAUCGGGGCUCAACCCCGUAAAGCAUUGGAAACUGAUAAACUUGAGUAGUGGAGAGGAAAGUGGAAUUCCUAGUGUAGUGGUGAAAUACGUAGAUAUUAGGAGGAAUACCAGUAGCGAAGGCGACUUUCUGGACACAAACUGACGCUGAGGUACGAAAGCGUGGGGAGCAAACAGG